UAAGCGUACUGAAAGUGCACUUGGAAUAACAAAAUACUACACAAAGCUUCAUUACUUAGCAAAAUUUGUUAAAUCAAAAUAUUUUGAGCUUAAAUACUAGCCUAAACUUAUUCACAUUCUAUUUUCUUAUUAAAACAUUUUAACUAUAUAGUAGAGGCGAUCAAAAAAUUUAUAAGCGCUUUAGAAAUAGUACCGCAAGGGAAAUAUGAAAUAAAAAUGAAAUAAUUAUUAAGCAUAUAAAAGCAGAGACCCAACCUCGUACCUUUUGCAUCAUGGUUUAGCUAGUCUUACCAGGCAAAAAGAAUUUUAGUCUGACUUCCCGAAACUUAGUGAGCUACUCUAAAGCAGCCGAACGGGCCAACCCAUCUCUGUAGCAAAAUAGUGGGAAGACUUUAGAGUAGAAGUGAAAAGCCUAUCGAACUGAGUAAUAGCUGGUUACUUGAGAAAAGAAUUUUAGUUCUGCCUAAAGUCCCUGAUAUGCUAUAAACAAUUCACAAGACUUUAGAGUUAAACAAAUAAGGUACAGCUUAUUUGUUUCAGGAUACAACCUACAUUAGAGGGUAAAUUAAUUAUAAUUAACUCAAGUGGGCCUAAAAGCAGCCACCUUUUGAAAAGCGUUAAAGCUUAACUUCCCCAUCAUUAAUUCCUUUAAUAUUCCCCAACCCCUUACCAAUAUCAAGUAAAUCUAUAAAAUAUAGAAGAUAUAAUGCUAAAACUAGUAACAAGAAACUGCAUUUCUCCUAAAUGAACGUUUAAACCUCACAGGACAGACCAGAGGAAGUUAACACCCAUAAACCCACUACAGUAACUUCAACAAGAAAACCCUGUAAUUUAUGCCGUUAAUCUAACACCAGCUCAUUUAAGGAAAGAUUGAAAGGAAGAGAAGGAACUCGGCAAAUUUAAGUUCCGCCUGUUUACCAAAAACACCGCCUCUUGCUCUACUAUAAGAGGUCCAGCCUGCCCAGUGAUAGUAUUCAACGGCCGCGGUAUCCUAACCGUGCGAAGGUAGCAUAAUCACUUGUUCUUUAAAUAAGGACCAGAAUCAACGGCAUCACGAGAACUUUACUGUCUCCUCUCCCUAAUCAGUGAAACUGAUUUCCCCGUGAAGAAGCGGGGAUAGAAAUAUUAGACGAGAAGACCCCAUGGAGCUUCAAGCCCUAUAGUAACCUCAAGACAACAUUUCACAUAAUCCUUAAGCUUAUACUAGCAGGCUUUAGGUUGGGGCGACCAUGGAGUACAACCUAACCUCCACGAUGUACUUACCAAUUUAUCUGUGAACUACUAAUCUAAGAAUUUUUAAAAUAACACCAUGAUCCGAUUUUCGAUCAACGAACCAAGUUACCCUGGGGAUAACAGCGCAAUCCAUUUUAAGAGCUCAUAUCGACAAAUGGGUUUACGACCUCGAUGUUGGAUCAGGAUAUCCUGGCGGUGCAGUCGCUACCAAAGGUUCGUUUGUUCAACGAUUAAAAUCCU
rnacentral:rRNA from 1 species